rnacentral:rRNA from 1 species
UGCGUAGGCGGGUUUUUUAAGUCAGGGGUGAAAUCCUGGAGCUCAACUCCAGAACUGCCUUUGAUACUGAAGAUCUUGAGUCCGGGAGAGGUGAGUGGAACUGCGAGUGUAGAGGUGAAAUUCGUAGAUAUUCGCAAGAACACCAGUGGCGAAGGCGGCUCACUGGCCCGGUACUGACGCUGAGGCACGAAAGCGUGGGGAGCAAACA